AAGCAUGGUGCUACUCUUGUUGGAGGUACUAAGACUGAGUACAUUGAUGAUGCUACCAUGAAUAAGUUAGUUUGGUAUGUGCUACAUAAUGCUGAUGAAGUACAGGAAUAUUUGACUCUGUACAGGGAGGAGCUAUCGCAGCAAGGUGCACGUCCAAAUGAUGUUGAUCGAAUGGUUCAACAAGGAUUUGCAAAGUGGUUUAUGUCCCAUGUUGAGAAGAAGCGUAAUGAGAAUCCAGAAUUGGUUAGCGAAGGA